GAUGAUUUAAUUCAUUGUACUACCAGGAAAGGAAGGAAAAGCAGAUGGGAAGGGGACUGGGUAUAGACAGGCUGGUAUUGAGUUGUUCGGGGGAAGGGCUUUAAGCUUCCUGUUACCCAACUUCACAUCAGCUGCAGCCUGCAUGGGUGAGUAAUUAACCUGCAGCCAUCUGCUUUUUGGUCGAUAACCACCUGUCCACCAAUGGCUUCCUCCCAGGGAGAGGCUACCCUACACUCCAAGGGCAACAUUAUGACGGGUCUGCCCUCUCUAAUCCCCUGCAUCUCCAUCCUGCCUAUGUCUGCACAGAGAGCUACUCCCCAGUAACCUGGAGUCUGCCUUCUCCCUUCUCAGGUGACAUCACAGUGGAGGGUCUUGAUGGAGAGCGACCACUGCAGACUGGGGAAGUGGUCAUCAUUGUGGUGGUGUUGCUCAUGUGGGCUGAAAAAGUCACCAUCCAUCAACACCAUUGACGUUUGAGGGAAGAAACACACCCAGAAGAGAGAUGCACUAACAACUUGGGGAUGGGGUGGGGUCAGGGAAAGCCCAAGAUGGUGAUCUGCUGGAGAGUCCCAGAGGGUAAUGACAUGCCCACAAUCUCAGGCCUGGAACCCAUCCUCUUUCCACUGUGAGCAGAGCCAGUCUGUUAAGAGUCUGUGCCCCUGGACCUGGGGAGCGGAUAUCAGAUGGGAUAUCUUCUCCCAUCCCCUGGUCCAGGGGAGAGUUACUUGUUCUACCCUAUCCCAUUAGGUCCCAAAUGGGGGCCCCAUUCCAUCUGUAUCAGGACUCUCAGCAGCCCCAGCUGCCCCCACAUCUUGCCUCUGGGCCUCAGAGAGCCGUGUUUCUGUGAGUAUUCCUCUUUCCCCAGCAAAUAAAAGGAAUUGUCGCAGCCUAGAGGCAGAUACUGCACUGCACUACUCCAAUGUCUUCCAUGGAGCCUCAGGUGCUCCCCCCUCACCUGGCAGCCCCUUCAGCUGCCAGUGAUCUCACUCCUUGGACAUUUUUCCAAUAAAGGUUCUUGGGCAAACCGGAGCUGA